ACUGCUCCAUUCUAUAAAGUACAAUAGUUUCACCUCAUCUGCAGUUUGGCUUACCCACCAUCCAAAAAAAUUCAAUGGAAAAUUCUAGAAAUAAACAAUUCAUAAAUUUUUAGUCAUGUACCGUUCUGAGUGGCCUGGGGAAAUCUCCUGCGCUCCUGCUCCACCUCGCCUUGGAUACAAAUCCUUCUUUUGUCCAGCAUAUCCACACUUUCUACCCACCCAUCUGUUAGUAACUUCAUAGCCGGCUCAAUUACCAGAUGGACUGCUGUGGUAUUGCAGUGCUUAUGUUCAAGUAACCCUUCUUUUACUUCAUCAUGGCCUCAAAGCACGAGAGUAGUGAUGCUGACAAUUUGGAUAUACCAAAGAGAAGCUGUAAAAUGCUUCCUUUCAGUGAAAAAGUGAAAGUUCUACAUUUAAUAAGGACAUGAACGAUUAAAAUAGGGAGACCCCCAUCUCUACCAAAAAAUGAAGAAGAAGAAGAAGAAGAAGAAGGAGGAGGAGGAGGAAGAGGAGGAGGAGGAACAGGAGGAGGAGGAAGGGAGGAAGAAAAGGAAAAAUAUUAGCCCGCUGUGGUGGCACACACCUAUAGUCCCAGCUAUUUGGGACGCUGAGGCCAGAAGACCCCUUGAGGCCAGGAGUUUGAGGCUGCAGUGAGCCAUGAUUAUGCUACUGUGCUCCAGCUUGUGAGACAGAGUGAUAUCUUAUGUCAAAAAUAAAUAAAUAAGUAUUGGUGAAAAUACAAUAGGAUAAAAUUGCAAGCCAUAGGAAAUGGAACUCUAGCACAUACAGAGAGAUGGUAAUCUUGUGAAGCAACAGUGUAUUGAAAUUAUGAAAUAAGAGUUUUUCAUGCAAAUGUGAGGAAUUUGCUGAGGACAAGUAAGAAGAAGGCCAAUUCCUAUUGUGCAAAUCCUCUGGUCACUGGCUUCAACUAAUAAGGACAAGCAAAAGCACAGGAAGUCAUUUCCCUCCUACGAAGAUCAUUGCAAUGAGUGGGAACUGGUGCUUUCUGUGGCUCACGCCCAGUGGGUCUGAGGGGAAAUAGAAUCAAUAAAACGUUAAACAUAGUAAGUGCUAAAUGAACACUUCAUGAAUUGAAAGCUGACUAGAAAGCCAGCUAUGAAGACAUAUUCUAGAACCACUGGCUGGGGAGGAAAAAAAGCAGAUCACCAAAUAAAGCACAAGCUGCAGUAAUCUC